rnacentral:rRNA from 1 species
AACGGGUGAGUAACACGUGAGCAACCUGCCCUAGGCUUUGGGAUAACCCCGGGAAACCGGGGCUAAUACCGAAUAUGACCUCCGAUCGCAUGGUUGGUGGUGGAAAGUUUUUCGGCCUGGGAUGGGCUCGCGGCCUAUCAGCUUGUUGGUGGGGUGAUGGCCUACCAAGGCGACGACGGGUAGCCGGCCUGAGAGGGCGACCGGCCACACUGGGACUGAGACACGGCCCAGACUCCUACGGGAGGCAGCAGUGGGGAAUAUUGCACAAUGGGCGGAAGCCUGAUGCAGCGACGCCGCGUGAGGGAUGACGGCCUUCGGGUUGUAAACCUCUUUCAGCAGGGACGAAGCGUAAGUGACGGUACCUGCAGAAGAAGCGCCGGCCAACUACGUGCCAGCAGCCGCGGUAAGACGUAGGGCGCGAGCGUUGUCCGGAUUUAUUGGGCGUAAAGAGCUCGUAGGCGGCUUGUCGCGUCGACCGUGAAAACUUGGGGCUCAACCCCAAGCCUGCGGUCGAUACGGGCAGGCUAGAGUUCGGUAGGGGAGACUGGAAUUCCUGGUGUAGCGGUGAAAUGCGCAGAUAUCAGGAGGAACACCGGUGGC